rnacentral:rRNA from 1 species
AAGGAGUGUCUUCAAACUCACCUGUUUAAUGGAUCAGCCCUGAAAAUGGAUGGCGCUACAUUGCGAUGCCGAUACUCAACCAUCAGAGCUAUUAUGAUGCUUGAUGAGUAAGAGGGCGUGGGCAUAGUGUGGAAGCCGAGACGUGAGUCUAGGUGGAACUGUGCUUAGUGCAGAUCUUGGUGGUAGUAGCAAUUAUUCAAAUGAGAACUUUGAAGGCCGAAGUGGAGAAGGGUUCCAUGAGAACAGUAUUUGGUCAUGGGUUACUCGGUCCUAAAGCAUAGGUUAACUCCUUUAUUCAUGUACUGUUUACAGUACGAUGCUGAAAGGGGAAUGAGGUUAAUAUUCCUCAAGCUGGUCGAGGAUACUUUUGCGGUAACGCAACCAAGCUCGGAGACGCCAGCGUGGACUCCUGAAAGAAUUUUCUUUUCUUUUUAACUGAUUAUCGCCCUGGAAUUGGAUUAUCCAGAGAGAGGGCUUUAAAUCAGGAAGAGCAGCC